rnacentral:rRNA from 1 species
GUCCACGCCGUAAACGAUGUCAACUAGCUGUUGGGAAGUUUAACUUCUUAGUGGCGAAGCUAACGCGAUAAGUUGACCGCCUGGGGAGUACGGCCGCAAGGUUAAAACUCAAAGGAAUUGACGGGGGCCCGCACAAGCGGUGGAGUAUGUGGUUUAAUUCGAUGCAACGCGAAGAACCUUACCUGGCCUUGACAUCCUGUGAACUUUCUAGAGAUAGAUCGGUGCCUUCGGGAGCACAGAGACAGGUGCUGCAUGGCUGUCGU